rnacentral:rRNA from 1 species
CCUACGGGUGGCAGCAGUGAGGAAUAUUGGUCAAUGGACGAGAGUCUGAACCAGCCAAGUAGCGUGAAGGAUGACUGCCCUAUGGGUUGUAAACUUCUUUUAUAUGGGAAUAAAACGUUCCACGUGUGGGAUUUUGUAUGUACCAGAUGAAUAAGGAUCGGCUAACUCCGUGCCAGCAGCCGCGGUAAUACGGAGGAUCCGAGCGUUAUCCGGAUUUAUUGGGUUUAAAGGGAGCGUAGGUGGAUUGUUAAGUCAGUUGUGAAAGUUUGCGGCUCAACCGUAAAAUUGCAGUUGAAACUGGCAGUCUUGAGUACAGUAGAGGUGGGCGGAAUUCGUGGUGUAGCGGUGAAAUGCUUAGAUAUCACGAAGAACUCCGAUUGCGAAGGCAGUUCACUGGACUGCAACUGACACUGAGGCUCGAAAGUGUGGGUAUCAAACAGGAUUAGAUACCCCAGUAGUC